rnacentral:rRNA from 1 species
GUAGGUGGCAAGCGUUGUCCGGAAUUAUUGGGCGUAAAGCGCGCGCAGGCGGUCCUUUAAGUCUGAUGUGAAAGCCCACGGCUCAACCGUGGAGGGUCAUUGGAAACUGGGGGACUUGAGUACAGAAGAGGAAAGCGGAAUUCCAAGUGUAGCGGUGAAAUGCGUAGAGAUUUGGAGGAACACCAGGGGCGAAGGCGGCUUUCUGGUCUGUAACUGACGCUGAGGCGCGAAAGCGUGGGGAGCAAACAGGAUUAGAUACCCUGGUAGUCCACGCCGUAAACGAUGAGUGCUAAGUGUUAGGGGGUUUCCGCCCCUUAGUGCUGCAGCUAACGCAUUAAGCACUCCGCCUGGGGAGUACGGCCGCAAGGCUG